rnacentral:lncRNA from 1 species
UUCUGCUCACAAGUCUGUGCGUUCCUCCAAAGCCCCCUUGUUUGCUUUUCAUGUCUGUCUUGUGUUUUACUUGGUCAUUCCGCGAUGCCUUUUCUUUCAAAUUUCGUCGCUGCUAAUCUGGUAGCCCUCUCUGUCGAGUACCCUUCGCCUCUCAGAUCUGUGUUGCGAAAUCCCUGACCAUAACCACACAUGGAAGAGAUGACUAACCGAGUUCUCCUCUCCCGCAGCAGCCUCUCUUUCACCCGGAGCAGCAGCAACUCUUUAUCCCGGAGCGGCUGCUUUGCUUUCCCUGUCUGGUCACGGUUAAGGAUUUUUGCUUCCUGAAUCUGUUUCUUUCUUUCUGUGUGGAUAUUUGGUAAUCUCCGCAUCCUUGUGGUCAUUCUCACCCCUGUUUGCCCUUUGGCUGUGUUUAAUUCUGUGGCCAUUCCUCCAUAGACUUUAUUGUGCCUCUCACAGCAUCAGCGCCAGCAGCGGGACUUCCUCCAGCCGAUUCUUAGGUGCCUGGUAAAAAUGAUGUCUAGGGGACUGAAAGCCAUAAUUUUUUGUGUCAGACAAGAUCGCCUGGGCCAAGAAGCUGAACGAGAACCUGACCGCAGAUUUUGCUGACGAUGGCACUGACUGGACAAGCCAUGCGACUUUUCGGGAGCUCCAUACUUCCGCUUUCUCUGGAAUGGAGUAAAACAUACAUGUACAUGGGUCGCUCACUCUUACAGAGAUAAAAAGUUUCGUAUCGGCCUUGAGACACGGCACUUUGGAUAAUGACAACCUUCCUCCAGACCACUGCUCUCGCUACGGUGGCUGGAUAUCUUCGGCAACUUUGGAAGAACACCUCCAAGAAGGUCGUCUUUAUCAAUGGCGAAUGUUUAAUUGACAAUCCCUCGAGGACAAUGUGGCUGGCUCUUUUGCUGAGCUACAUAGACGACCUUCCAGCCGAGCUUUCAUGCUGGGGGCUGGACCUUGAAAGUAUUAGAAUUUUGGAUCCUGAUGCUGCGGGUAAAUGAAGUGAGUGUUGUGGAGGAUUUCAAUCCUUGUCCCCCUCAGGAUUUUCCAGAACUUGCUAAGCCAGAACAUCUUUCAGAGGUACACUGGUUUCUUCCUCUCCUUCAAAGCCUUCUCUUCCUGGAUUUCAUCACCAUUGUUAUCGGAAAACUUCACCUUUGGCUUGUACAUGCUGGGAUCCUUCUUCUUGAUCUUGGCUAUCAUCUCUAAAAUUAGUAUCUUUGCAGCACUCCAUCUUCCAGUCUUCCUCAUUUGAUGGCAAAUUCAUGUCCAGAAGCUUACACUUUCAAAGCAAUGCCAAUUUUGGCCUUUGCUUAGGAUAAUAAUUCAAAGUUGAAGAGAUUAGAAUACUCUUUCUUGAGCUAGUCAAUUGCUAUAAUAUAAAAACUGUUGGAGGGAUUUGAGAAAUAAAGGAGCAAAAUAAAAAUAUUGAACAGAAACAUUGAUGGGAAGACCAAAGUGAUGAAAGUAAAUGUAAAAAGAAAUAAAAUAAAAAUAAAGGGAAGGAAAAAAAAAUUUAAAAGUAUGAAACAAAAAGGAAAAGUCUCAAAUAUGCAAUCCUAAAAACAACUUGCAGUAAUAAAAGCUCAAACUCAAGAUUGCUUACACUCACCACAUAUAUACAUUUGUAUAAUUGUUGAAAACUGAUUUUAUUGUUAGUAUAGAUGAUUUUGCCACACAAUGCAACUGUAAAUGGCAAUGUGUGGCAACAAGCCAAGCAAUAAAACAUAAACCCACAAACCUUUAUCAACUUUUAUCAUUUUAUCAUUCCAGACACCACAAGCCAAAAUCCCUGCUUCAUAAACCAGAAUUCUGCAACAAGGAAAUUCAUUGCUCCAUUUCUCCAAGAGGAUAGAGAUGACACCUAAUGUCUAAAGCACUAUACCUCUAAUACCAUGUGAAGAGUCUCCAUCUAACACUCUAAAGAAAGAGAGCAGCUAAAACCUUAAAUUGACUCAAGCCACUUAGCUUGACUCUAACAGUGGUAAGAUAGGAUGGCAUUGGUGGCUGCCACAUUCUCUACUUUGGUGGCAGGAAGACCCUUUAUUCACAAUGUCUAGAGGGAUGAGCAUACCUAUACAUAGAAGCUGCUUAAACAAGCUAUGGCAUGCAAUUUGUAAAAGGGUGAGUGUUACUGCAGCAAAUUUCACUCACAAUACAGUGUCCAUAUGGCAGUUUUCUAUUGGUUUGGCAUUAAAUGUCAUUUGGAUCCCUCAUGGAUACCCCAUGGAUGCUGGCCCGAUGGGUUGAUGUCCCCAUAAUAUGAACAAUGUUCUAUACAUAGAUGCCACAUAUCAUCAAGUUUGACCCCAUGACAUAGGGAUUCAUUAGGUCAUAGGGUUUAGGAGAUGCUUCCUUGCUUUAGUGCCUGGUCAUGGCAGCAGGGUGCAAGCUGCCCCACUAAGAACCUAACCCUAAAGUGCGAUGGAAAGCGCAUGUUUCUUGGUAGCAGAUAUUUGCUAGUGAUUGGUUUUAAAUGUUUUUGUGGGCAGUGUUGGAAGUGGCUUUGAUUUACUACUCGAUUGCUCUCUAUAGACUUUCAAGUUCUUACCAUGAGUAUAGUUCCCUCGCUAGUUUACUUCAAAUUUCUGUCACUGAAACUUUUUCUUCUAGGUUACUGGAAGACGUGGAGGAAGACAAGAUGGAUGGCCUUCCAUCCAAUUUUAGUGAUUCGGACUGCGGUUCCAGUAUGGAUAGUGACAAUGAUGCUCUCCUAGAGGUUUGCUUAGUUUCUAGCCUCCUAAAUUCAUGAUUUGCACGUUUCUAGGCUUUCUAUAAUUUUUUGCAAUCGAGGGCAUUUGGUAGUCCAGCUGCAUUUAGCACUUGGAUGCACCUGACGAUCCUCAAGACUAAGACUACUGCUUUUACCUCGCAUGCUAUCUUAGAAUUUCUAAGCCAACACUAUACAAAUACAUACGGCUUGUCGAUCUAAAUUGUAGAGGUGUAUAUUACAGAGUACCACCCGAAGAAGUACUUCAUCACGUUCAAAAUAACAAUGCCAUGAAUUGAGGUGGCACAAACUGGAGGAUUAUCAAUUCUCAAUCUAGCUGUCGAAUUGGAGGAUACUAGUUUAGCCAAUGCCAAAUUUGUGAGGCUUUAGCCACUCACGAUCCUAGUAGGUUGGAACAAAGGCACAUGACAAGGAUUCGACAAUGGAUUUAUAGGAACGAGGAGGCACUUUGCCAUAUGGAUUGUGAGUAUUCUUUCAUUUCUGUUUUUUUGUCAACACAUGUGGUAACAUGCUUAUUGUAGCAUAUUGCAAGCUUGUAAGCUAUGGUUUCGAUGUACAUGCCAUUAUUUGCUGGGCAACUCAUUAUAUUGUAGCUUGCGAGCUAACUACCUCCAAAGAAUCCUAUGCAAUAUUCAACACAUAUGCACAGGCUGUUCGUCGAUUUGCAAGGCCCAAGCACAUCCGAAGCGACAAUGCUCCAAAACACAAUGAGGUUGAGAGGGACAGAGUCCUACAGCUAGGAGCUUCAUAUGUGGGACAUCAACACAUAACUAGGUACUCACAGCAUUAAAGUUUUUCCAAAUAAGGACUAAAUCAAAUUUGUUUUGCAGCCUAUAAAGCAUUUGUGGAGAGAGCUCUUUGAGUGUGUGGUGUGGUUUUAUAAGCACCUUUUUGAGUCCAUGGAAGAUAUAAGAAUUCUCGAUGUAUCUAAUCCAUAGCACAACUAGAGUCUAUGUUGUGGUUUUGCUCCGUACCUCAAGAAGGAUAUUUCACAUUGGGUUGCAACCUGGAACGUCCAUGAGGUCCGUCCGUAUUGACGUGGUGAUUACUUUAAACCAUCUUAUGUUCCUGCAAACUUAUUUCAACCGAUGGAACGAGAGUUUGGGUAAGAAUUUUGGUAAUGUUACAGAAUUCUUUAUUAAUUGUGCUUUUGUAGGAUUAUGCUGGCUGUUGGUGGAAAAGAUAUUGAAAAUGUUCCUGGACCAUUUCUCUCCAAUAUCGAAGGUGCAACUCUGUCAAAGGUAAUCUUUAGAACAAAAAUAGAACAAUUUCUUUAAAUCUAUUUUGUUGUUUUUAGCUACCUUACAGGCUCAUGGCACUGUUCGAAACCAAGCAUUUUUUAUGCAUCAGGAGGGACUCAACUUGGACGAACAAUAUCUACUUCAUUUGGAUCUAAUAAUGGAGUGUGCAAUGGCUGAUGUUGCAGGUGUAGAUCUACCACUUUACAUUGAGAGUGCCUUGCCUAUAACAACACCAGUGAAGCAAGGAGUUUUGGAAAAAUUAUACUUGGCCAUACUUGGAGAAAAUUGAGUGUUUUUUAGUGUACAUUUUAAAUUUAAAUUCAAUUCUUGAUUUCUUCAAUUUUAGGGUUCCCACAUUCGAGAUUUGGGUUUACACCAAGUCCCACCCAUAUUAAUUGUGCCUUGGAUACGAGGCAAUUUCAUUUUAUGACAUGAUUUUGUCGAUGGUUCAUUCGUUCUUCCAAUUGAUUCACGUCAUUUAACUGGAGGCAAGGCUUUUAAUGCACACUCCCCCAAUCGCAAGACCAUCGCCCAAGCAAGAGCGCCACAGCUAUGAUGGUGGGUAGCUUCUCCUUGAUCAAGUUUGCAUAAUCAAUCCCUUGUGGUUUCUAGGUUCGAAGCAAGAAUGCUGCACGCCUCAAUACCAGUAGACACUAUGCAGGAAACACCUCGUGAGCAUGCAACUAAGCACUUGAUGUUCCGCAAUCGGUACAGCUAACAAUCCUGCGAGACACAUGCCAACCACUUGAUUUUCCAAGCUCCACAACAAGGACAUCAACUCCAACAACAUCCCAUCCAUAGCUCUUGAUUGCAUUUGAGCAAGUAGAGUGCCACCUAACAUUGCAUACAUUGCAACAUAUGCAGAACCUCUAACAUGUUUCCUUCUCCUCACCUUCCUUGGAAAGUAGCAGCCCGAAUGUCCAAAAUGAGCAAGUCUGAAUACCUCAUGCCCACAGUGUUGUCCAAUCUAGAAUGUUGCCACCAACACCAAGUAUAAGACGUGCUCACGGAACCCCAUAUAGUGCCACUGCUACCAGCCCCACAACUCCACUAGCUGCUACUACUCUCGCAACUCCAUCUACUGGUACAAGUGUCAGUACUUGGCCAUCUACCUCCCGAAGCAACAAGCGGUCUAGCUCAGUAGGUUUGUCAUUUGUACCUAUCUUUUUUCCAUGUGUUGUUUUGCAUAGGGUGAGUUGACAAUGCCGCCACACUAGCAAGCUUAUAGUUCCUCAUCAGCAUUCCACAACUACUCCCAAGGAUCGACAUCAUCAUUUAGUGGAGCUUCAACAUCCAGAUAUAUUCAAGCUGAUGCUCAAGGUGGGCUGCCAUGUGAGCCACAAGUAUAACAUGACCCUAUGCACUCUUCAUUUCUUUUUUCUUUGGAUUUGUUUAACUCAUUUUCGUUUUAUUGUGCUAGACUCUCUCACCGCUUGUGGCUGUAGUGCACACCUAUACCGAUUACAAUCGGUAGUCCUUAUUUUGUCAUCGUGGACAUCGUGGCAGUCAAUCCAAAGUCAUUGGUGGGAUGUCACCUACGACACCCUUGGUCCCCCGCCCGUUCACCACAGUUCUUAUCACGAAGUGGAUUGCAAUCCCGAAAACUUUUUUGCACACUUGUAUGGGCAGAAAAGAUAGCCAUCUGUGAAAGUGACGGAACUUGACGAGCUGGCAGUGGACCUCCCAAAGUGUCUCAUAUGGGGUGGCUUAUACUCCAGUAUUCCUUUCCAGCCCAGCACGGCCCAACAUGCAAUUCUACUAUCACUCCAAGCCUCAAGAAUCCAACUGUGAGACACAAAAUCCCUAGGCCCCAAAGUGGAGCCGAAAGGGUGCCACGUGGUAGUGGCCAAAGUGAAAGCCAAAUGAACAUAACAUGUUUGGACUAAAAGCUCCGACUUGAAAGGUUGAGAGCGGGAGUGGAACUCCCAACGAAGUGUUCGAGGAACAAGCACAAAGCAAGCAAUGAGUGAGUCUCUAGAAAAGGGACACAAGAGGACCAACACAUGACACGUGGCAGAGUCCGAGAUGGAGUUCGAGACGGAGUCCGAGAUAGAGUCCGAGAUGGACCCGAGAUGGAGUUCGAGACAGAGUCCGAGAUGGAGUCCAAGAUGAAGUCCGAGAUGGACCCGAGAUGGAGUUCGAGACAAAGUCCGAGAUGGAGUCCGAGAUGAAGUCCGAGAUGGACUCGAGAUGGAGUUCGAGACAGAGUCCGAGAUGGAGUCCGAGAUGGACCCGAGAUGGAGUCCAAGAUGGACCGAGACGGAGUUUGAGAUGGAGUCCGAGAUGGACCCGAGAUGGAAUCCGAGAUGGAGUCCAAGAUGGACCCGAGAUGGAGUCCGAGAUGGAGUCCGAGAUGGACCGAGACGGAGUCUAAGAUGGAGUUCGAGAUGGAGUUUAAGAUGGACCCAAGAUGGAGACCGAGGUCGAGACUGAGACCGAGACCAAGACCGAGACUGAGACCGGGACCGAGACCAAGACCGGGGUUGAGACCGAGACCAAGAUCGGGACCGAGACCGAGACCGAGACCGAGGCCGAGGCCGAGACCAAGCCCGAGCCCGAGGAUGAGUCCGAGUCCGAGUUCGAGUCUGAGUCCGAGUCCGAGUCCGACUCUAAGUCCGAGUCUGAGUCCGAGUCCAAGUCUGAGUCCAAGUCUGAGAGGGUGAAAGCCCAAAGCGUUUGUCUCCCAAACCCUGGGGGGUUUGGUGAGCUCCAAAAGUAUAGUGAGGGGGAGAACUGCAGUGGAGCCAGUUUGGCCAAGAAAGGCUAGUUUGGCCCAGGAAGGCUGUACCCAGUGUUGGGUGGUGAGCUACCCACUAGAAAGUCCAAGACUAGGGUGAACAUGGACUGACAAGCAAGGUAACUUGGUGAAGUGUUCAAGAGUCGGCUCUAGUUCCCCUAGGAGAUCGACUGGCUGAUACUCCCAAUCCAAGUGUGGGUGGCACUACAUACUUGGAUACUUGGCAUGGCUCAACGGAACCUCGCUCUAAGCCCAUGGCUAGAGCACCCAAAGGCGGAAGGCGAGAAGAGUACCCACGAGGCUCGCGUAAGGCUACAGUGUUCCGAAAUGUUGCCCCAAAGUCCCAGACUGUGAAAAGGAAAAGGAGCCAUCUUUUAGUGUGGAAGUCAAGGAUACGGUUGUGUGAGGAAGAAGUCCCAGAGGACCGUAGGACUUAGUAGUCGAGCUUGUGGGCUUUGAUCCAAUGGCAAUGUUGGCGAACACGGCCAUGAACAAAAAGGGACAUGGUGGGGACUAGAAAAGGGGUAUUGGGGAAAGCUAAUCCCCAUGUCUGUGGGCAUCCUAAGGAUGCUAAGGAGUGGAUUUAGGAUGAUCACUCAUGGAUGGAUGGCCCAGUCCUUGAGAGACGGGACUGUGAUGCAAGUGGUGUUAGACCACCGGUGUGACCAAGGUGAAGGGGCAUGGCCUUAGCGUAACAGGUUGAUAAGUCAAUGGUACCUUGGGGUGUCGGUCAUGGGAUCAGACACAUGGAGCACUUGGACCAAGUGCAAAGGUUGAGUGGCGGGGAUGCUAUUCUUGGGGCUAGCAAACCCAAGUCCAAAAUAGGACUUAUGGAGGUUGUGAGUGAGAUUCCUCCAAGUGGUCAAAGGUGUGGUUAAGUGACUAAAGUAGAAUGGAAAAUUAAGUCGCUUACACCAACCUUCAUCCAUGACCAACCCAGAAGCAUUUGUCCAGCAUGCAAGGCAGUCCAAUGGUGGUGAGGCCCAUGCCGAGUUUGCAAAAUUUGGCCUCAGCUCUAUCCGGCCUUGCUAUUAGCCUCCUCAAACAUCAUGGGGAACUAUAACAAACAAGGCCAAUAGCAACCAGGUAACAAUAAUAUACCUAUACAAUAUUAUGGAGCAUUUUAUUGACAAACAUUAGCUAAGUUAUCAAAAACAGGCCCAAACAUUCGAGGAGAAGGAUGUUCGUGAACAUAAGUCAUUUUGUUUUUUAAGUUCCCUCCUCACAAAUAUAUGUUGUGGUCUUUGCAGUUGUAGCUACUACAAAUACCUUGACUGCAAAUGAUGAUCCAUUGGUGAUAGAGCCAUUUCUCCCAAGGCUAGCCAUGCAAGAACUAAACCAAGACGAGAAUAAUGAAGAAGAAGACUUUGUGGAUGAAGAGGACAUUCUUCCAUUACCGAAAGAUACUCUCCCCAUACAAGACAACAUCACUGGAGUCAAAGAAUAAGGUGAUAGUGGGGAUGAACCGCAUCAAAGAUCUCCGGAGAGAUCCUUGUCACCAGAGAUAGUGGCUCCAAGCCAUGUGGCUAGUAAAAAGCAUUAACAUAAAUGAAUAUUUUCUUCAUUUUCUAAUUUUUAAGUGCAGAUAAGCCAAUGGUAAUGUAUGACAGUGAUGGCGGAGGCUUUGAAGACCAUGGUGUGCUUCCACCCCCCUUUCUAGAGGGAAGUAGCUCCACUUCAUUUACUCUUAUGGAGUUGCUUGACAACUUUUCUAUAGUAGAGUAAGAUAAUUGAAAAUUAUGCCAUUCAAAAUUGAACUAACAUUUGCAUGUAGAUUGUUUGAGCGUCAACAACAAUAAAUUGAUGCUACUAAUGCAUUUAAUGAAGUUGUUCUAUUAACCACUCAAAAUAAUGACAACUUCAUCAUGCUGUAGCAUGAGGAGGUUUCUACCUUACAGAAUGCCACUACAGCCCUUGAGGCGAGGGCACAAGGGGAUGUUGAAGUUCUCUCACAAGUGUAGUGGCUGAAACACAAGCUUCUUAGUUAUUUUGGUGUGGAGAGCACAAGUGACAAAUAGAUGCUAGACGUUGUUGCUAGACACUCUAAGUUAUAUUGGGCUAGCGAUGAAAUAUUUCUUCAGCGUGUGCUUUUUCAACCAUGCCAUGCUUCAUUGGUAGGAUUGAGAGAGUGUUCUCCUUAAGCUUGGCCUUUCAGAAGCGCAGUACGAAGAUGUGUUUUGUGACAAUACAAUCCAACAACUCCUUGCUAAAGUAAGUAUCAAUGUGCCUUCUUCAAUUAUUGAGUCCACAAUAGUAUGGUUCAUUAAAAAGAGGUAUGUGUAUCUAUUUCUUAGCACUUAGUAACAUUUUAUUAUUUUGUGCAAGGACCUACGUAGAAAUUGGGUGGCUACACAACAAUUAAGAGAACUAUUUGACACUACUGAAACACUGUAUUGUAAGUUCUCUCGUUUUUGCAUCGAGAAAGCCAUCCUUUGGCCAUACAGACUUGCUCGUACACGUUUGAGGCCGUCUCACAUUCUGGUAAGCAAUGGAUUGCUUAUGAAUUGAAGUUCCCUCACUUGUCCUUCCAGAUUACACCAAACAAUGAAUUCAGUUGUUUCUAAUUCACCUUCAAUACUAAUCUCUGCACACUGAAUUAUAAAGUGGUCUAUGCAUUUGAGAUUGGAGGAGCUUUGGUGUGGGAGGAAUCCACAAUAGAUGCGGGUGGGCCACAUGCAAAAGCCAUUAAGAAGGCUGUUCACCAAAUUUCAGGAUCGGUAAGUUUAAUUUUCAUUUGGCUCACUAGAGUAACUUUGUGUUACAGAUGCAUGGACUGUUUAUGCUUAGGGAAGGAGCCACAUAUUGGCAUCCCAGGAUGCUAAUGCAUUUUAGGAUGUUAGGACAAGAAGAGCGAGAUGUGGUAAGUUAGGUUUAAAGCACAAGUUUUAUAUGCUCCUCAUUUCUAUAUGCACAGGCUAUCUUUGUGGGAUGGUUGCUAUUCCAAAUGUUCGAAUGUAAUGCACAGGUAUUUCGCAGGUGUACAAUUGCAAUAUUGGCAAUUGCAGCCCGAGAAGUUCCAGAUGAGAAUGAUUGAUGACUUGCCCAAGGAAGACUAUAUGAGAUGGACCUCAAGGCAUACGUGCCGUAUAUCUGGAAUGCACUUAACCAAUUGCGAGGUGCAUCAAGCCUAAAGGAGGAGGGCGAUGUGGAUUCCAUCUUAGAGAACCUUGCAUUUACUGACUACAACACAGUGCUUGAGUCUAGACUCACCGAACUUGGUGAAGGUUAUGAGCAAGUUGUGGAGGCAUGCGUGGCUGUGGUGGUCUGGCAUUACCUAUUCAUCGAGCCAAACGUAGUGGGAUAUUUACUCCGAGAUGGCUUCCAACACUCAAUGUGCAUGGAAGCUCGUCAGAGGCCUUACAAGGGUCUAGCAUUGUUAGGUGGGCUUUCACUCAUUGGGAGAGAUGCUUUGUUACAAGUCUUCCAGGUAAGGAUGAUCAUUCCUUCCAUGGAGUUCAUCAACUGCCUAAUCUUUGAUCAGGACUUUGGAGAGAACUUCCACAGCUGGAUUGUGGACAUCAUUCGAGGUAACUAUUUACUUUCAGAAACAACUAAAACUCUUGUAUGUUUGAACAUUUUAUAAAUAUGAGCCUGAAAGAGUUAUCCAAGUUCCAUCACUUUGUAGUUGAUUCUCUAGAGCUCCGACCGGGAGAGCCUAUUUGGAUCCACAUUGAGAGACAGGGUACAUCAUCUACUCAAUUUUCCAGGUUCUCCACAUGCACACGAGAAGUUUUCUUCCCUUUAACAUACUUGUUAAUGGAGUGGACCACAAGAUCCAUCGGGCACUCCAAAAUCUAGAGAGUUUGUACGGAUUGGGCUGAUGUUGUGGAAGUACCAUAAUCUAGACACUUUCACAAUAAAAAUAGAUAAUUAUUUUGAAAUAUGUUUCACACUUUUAAAGAGACUCUUUCUAGUUCAUUGGCGAAGUUAAAGGUAAGAAUAUUUAAAAUAUUCCAUAAAUGCCCAUUAUAGGCACUUGCGGCCCUUUUGGCUUAUGCUUGCCUCACCAAAGGUAAUCACUAUAGCUUCCAAAGUAGCUCCUUGUUUAGGAUUUGGGUCAAAAUUAUUGAGUUUGGGUGCUACAUGAUGCCCAUCCUCGCUUGAGGAACUCUCAACCUAUUUCAUAGUAGAAUCAAAAUCACCCUCUGGGUCUGUGAACUUGUCCUUGCUUGCAUCUCGAGAAGUAACAUAUCCCUUGCUGUCACUUUCUUCAGCAAGACUUUUCCCCUCGGUGACUGGCACAACAUUAAAAGUAGUCUUGGGCUGCCUUGUUAGAGGGAUUAUCAAGUCUUGAGAAGAGGAGGCAUCAUAUAGAAUCCUUAGUCCUGUCCUUUGUUGGAUCCAUUAUUGUGCCUCAAAAGAAGUCAUAGAAUCCUCUCCAAUUUGCCAUGUCAGGAGGAAACCCAAAAACCUCAAACAUUACAAAAGGGUUAGAGUAUAUAGAAAACUGUCACAAAUUUACUUUUACCAAAGUGAGCAUGAGCUUCCAAUCUCUGAAAAAUCCAAUUCUUCAACCGUAGCGUGUAGCAUACAUUGGAUAGUUUUGCCCCAUGCUUGGAAACCCUUUUUACAAAUUUCAAAAUUUGAAAUGAUUAUGAUUGGAAAAUAUUGUAAGUGUCCAUUGUUAUUGCUCUUCUCACCUAAAUGUUACCACAUGCAAUUGCAACUUUCAUAUUCUCAAAUCUCCUUUAGCAUGCUCCUCUUAAGAGAACUCUAAGUCCAAUUUGAAACAAUUAUAAUUGGAAAAUGUUGAAAGUGUCUUAUGUUAUCCUAAAUGUUACUACAUGCAAUUGCAACUUCCACAUUCUCAAAUCUCCUUCAACAUGCUCCUGUUGAGAGAACUUCAGGUCCAAACAUUAACACUAUGCACCUUUGUGUAGUAUACAAUUGAAGUAUGAGCCCCACCAAUUCAUCGAAUUGCUUAAACUUCAAUCUACUUUUGAGUCAUAUGCAAAUCUUUUAAGCAUCAUGGUACAAAACUAAAGUGUUAAGAGAGUUACAUUGGAAAUCAAUGGCAACGAAAGAUAAACUCAAUGAGAUGCAUUAAAGACAUAACUCCAGACAAUAUAUAUCCAUGGCUUUCCAAUCUUUCAAAUCUUUCCUUCUUUCAAAUCAACUUGGAAAGAUUGGAAACUCCAUCUUCCAGAUCCUUAGCCUAGAUGGAGUUCACUUACACUUGCUAUGAACACUAUGUUAAAAGAGGUGUGCCAAAAAAGGAUAAUUUAGUUCUUUUGCCAUGAGUGCCAAGAGCAAGAUGUGAGAACAUAGUGCUCUAGAUAGGGUAGUAUGGUAUGCAAUUUAGUCAAUUGUCUAUUUAGUUUGCAACAUUAACAAUUUGCUAGAAUGCAUGGGAUGAAUGGGUCUAUGGGCCAUGAAUGGCUCCAUUCCAUAGCAUGGGUCAUUGCUAUGGGCAUUAUGCCACAUCUGGGGCAUAAGGAUUGGAUAUUCCUAAAAUUUGUUUUUUUCACACUCAUAAUACAUGUGACCAAUAGCAGGCAUACACGUGGUGUGAGUGAAAUCCACCGUUGUAAAAUCCUUUUUUACAAAUUGCACACCAUACAAACAAAAUUGUGGUUAAGUUUUCACUUUUUGUCUCUUGUGUUUAUAAUUGAGUUAGUGGUCUAAACCACCGGAUGAAGAUCGUGCGGUCACUGACGAUUCUAGGGCGCCACUGUCGGGUUUCACGAUAGGGCGCUCUUGAUCGCUCUCCGGAUCAUCGAUUCCAGCGCGCAGCGGUGAGGGUUUCAACUAACGAAAUGGACGAGGAAUUGGCCAAGGUGCAGGCUGAAAUCGAGCGUCUUGAGCCGCAGAUCCAAGCGGCUGGGGGAUCUUUUCUCUCUGCCUUUGAGAGUGGCAAUCAAUUUCUGGCGGAAUAUUGGCAGAAGGAGGAAGAGCAGCUGCGGAAGGAAAAACAGCAGCUGCGGAAGAAAAAAUUACAGCUGCGGAAGAAUGAACUCCUCCUCCUCCAAUGUAAUGGUAAGUCAUUCUUUGUGUAUUUAGCUUUCCCCCUCGAUUUGGGGCGUUUUGCUGUGUGUGUGGUUCCAUGUGGCUAUGGCUGCUUUCGGCCAUGGUUAAGGAUUUUGCCAGAGGUAGCUUCAAUUCGCUUUUAUUUUGGGUUGCUGGAAGUGUGGCUAUGGUGGCUUUUGGCUAUGCUGCCGGUGGACGCAUGCUCCCUUGUGGAUCCUUGGUCGUCCUUGUAUGGCUAUGGCUGUUGAGACCCUGGUUUUUUCUUCUAGAUCUAAUACUAACUUUGUUUUGUUCUGAAUGUUGCAGUGCGCGGGUAAGCAAUUGGGAAAGCCCUUCGUUUCCUUUCACAUGCAUCCCCAUUUUCUGUCCAGUUCUUGGUAUUCCAUUUGUCCAGUUCUGGAUGCUACUUUAAUGCUGUCUGUCUAGUAAUAGUUGGGUGUCUUCUCUUUGGGAUGACUGGUAUGUUUUUCGGCCUGACACUAGAGUUUGCUCAGUUCUGCUCACAAGUCUGUGCAUUCCUCCCCCUUGUUUGCUUUUCAUAUGUUUACUUGGUCAUUCCGCGAUGCCUUUUCUUUCAAAUUUCGUCGCUGCUAAUCUGGUAGCCCUCUCUGUCGAGUACCCCUUCGCCUCUCAGAUCUGUGUUGCGAAAUCCCUGACCAUAACCACACAUGGAAGAGAUGACUAACCGAGUUCUCCUCUCCCGCAGCAGCCUCUCUUUCACCCGGAGCAGCAGCAACUCUUAAUCCCGGAGCGGCUGCUUUGCUUUCCCUGUCUGGUCAUGGUUAAGGAUUUUUGCUUCCUGAAUCUGUUUCUUUCUUUCUGUGUGGAUAUCUGGUAAUCUCGGUCAUUCUCACCCCUGUUUGCCCUUUGGCUGUGUUUAAUUCUGUGGCCAUUCCUCCAUAAACUUCGUUGUGCCUCUCACAGCACCAGCGCCACCACCAGCGGGACUUCGUCCAGCCGAGAUUGACGUGCCUGGUAUGAAUGAUGUCUAGGGGACUGAAAGCCGUAAUUUUUUGUGUCAGACAAGAUCGCCUGGGCCAAGAAGCUGAACGAGAAUCUGACCGGACACUGACUGGACAAGCCAUGCGACUUUUCGGGAGCUCCAUACUCCCGCUUUCUCUGGAAUGGAGUAAAACAUACAUGUACAUGGGUCGCUCACUCUUACGGAGAUAAAAAGUUUCGUAUUGACCUUGAGACACGGCACUGACAACCUUCCUGGAACUCUGGGCUCUGGGAAGACCACUGCUCUUGCUACUGUGGCUGGAUAUCUUCUGCAACUUUGGAAGAACACCUCCAAGAAGGUCGUCUUUAUCAAUGACGAAUGUUUCAUUGACAAUCCCUCGAGGACAAUUGUGGGUGGCUCUUUUGCUGAGCUACAUAGACGACUUUCCAGCCGAGCUUUCAUGCCGGGGGAUGGACCUUGAAAGUAUUAGAAUUUUGGAUCCUGAUGCUGCAGAUAAAUGAAGUGAGUGUUGUGGAAGAUUUCAAUCCUUGUCCCCCUCAGGAUUUUCCAGAACUUGCUUAGCCAGAACAUCUUUCAGGUACACUGGUUUCUUGCUCUCCUUCAAAGCCUUCUCUUCCUUUAUUAUCGGAAAACUUCACCUUUGGCUUGUACAUAUGCUGGGAUCCUUCUUCUUGAUCUUGGCUAGCAUCUCUAAAAUUAGUAUCUUUGCAGCACUCCAUCCUCCAGUCUUCCUCAUUUGAUGGCAAAUACAAGCCUACACUUUUUAAGCAAUGUCAAUUUUGGCCUUUGCUUGAGGAUAAUAAUUCAAAGUUGAAGAGAUUAGAAUACUCUUUUUUGAGCUAGUCAAUUGCUAUAAUAUAAAAACUGUUGGAGGGGUUUGAGAAAUAAAAGAGCAAAAUAAAAAUAUUGAAUAGAAACAUUUAUUGGAAGACCAAAGUGAUGGGAAGUAAAUGUAAAAAGAAAUAAAAUAAAAAUAAAGGGAAGGAAAAAAAAUUAAAAAGUUAUGAAACAAAAAGGAAAAGUCUCAAAUAUGCAAUCCUAAAAACCAUUUGCAAUAAUAAAAGCUCAAACUCAAGAAUGCUUACACUCACCACAUAUAUGCAUUUGUAUAAUUGUUGCUAUAGAAAAUGAAAACUAAUUUUGUUGUUAAUAUAGAUGAUUUUGCCACACAAUGGCAAUGUGUAACAACAAACCAGGCAAUAAAAAAUAAACCCACAAACCUUUAUCAACUUUUAUCAUUUUUUCAUUCCAAACACCACACACCUCAUAAACCAGAAUCUACUACUAUAAGGAGCAAACGCCAAACUUUGUGGGCCGCCGGAUCCAGCCAAUCGGGGCCAUCCGAUGGGGGGUAACUGUAAAGGGGUUAUUUCUUUAACCACGUGUUAGCGAAUAAUCGCGCUGAUGUUUGCCCCCGGCCAAUGGGAGGCGGCCAAGCCAUGUGGGGCGGGAGAGGAAGGCCCAGCGACGCAUGGCACAUGCAAAGUGUUGACCGGAGAUUGCUGCUCCAGGGCGUCACUCCGGGCAGGAUCAAGUGGGUCGUGGCCCUUGGAGCGUGCUGUGGAUCGCGAUUUCUUCCGGUGGGUAAGCAAAUCCACUCCCAAAUGGUUGCUGCUGGCUGGGAUUCGAGCUUGAUCCUGUCUACUGCGCUGAUUGACAUGUAUGCCACGUGUGGCAGUGUAGUGCACGUGGUUUUGACCCUUUAUCCUAUGGUGAUUUACCAUAGGAUAACACCACGAAGCGGAACCUAAACCCUCUUUGUGCCACGUGACAGAUGCCACGUGUCACAUGCCACGUGUCCAUGCCAUGUGUCCAUAGGAACCCGAAGUUCAAGGCCUUGGGCCAUUGAACGAAGGAACGGUGCCAAACUCCCAAGCAUGGAGCCAAGGAGUGACGGAACCGAACCACGGAGCAACUCCCGAGCAUAAAGCCCAAGGAGUGAAGGGACAGGAGCCCGGAGUGACUUGGAACAGUCCUGGAGCAACUAGCAUCCCAAUGCCAGGACCAGCACACAAAACGGAGCCAAACGGAGUCUGGCGCUAUUUCGGCAUACCGGUGGCCUAACGCGAGGAUAUGGGUACUCCACCAACUAGCAUGGAAUGGAACUUGGGCUUAGACCCAAGCCGGACGCAAAACAAGGACAGGCACGCAAGCGGGAGCUAGACUAUGCCUCAGGUUGGUCGGCCAUGCCCGACCUACCCACUAUCCCUACUAUACAUUUGGAACCCCCCACAGCCCCCCCCCCCCUUGAGGAACACACGCUUUGGGCUUUCACCCCAAGCCUCCCUUAGUAUCAGGAGUUAGUCUCUGGGACAAGCUCGAAACUUACUAAAUAUGGAAUGUCCUUAGAUUGCGAAUUUGGACACGGGACGAACACCAUUGUGUUCAGGCCGAUCUCUACAUUCCGUAGAUAUGCCAAAUGAGCAAAUCUGGACACUUUCCAUAAAUAGCAUUUGGGACCGAAAUGAGACUAACACAAAGGGCAUGAUAGCGAGGGUGUUUGGCAGACACGGUAAGCUAUCAUCCAGCAAUAUUGAGGGACCAAUCUCAAUACGCGAGGGUUCUUGUCAAGCCAGUGCAAGACAGAGCAAAAGAGAACUAACAAGCCGGGCCAAGUAUGCUCAGCUAAAUAGACACUUAGGAAUUCCUUCCUUAUGCUCAUCCGGCCAAGUACAGAUGCAAAGUCUAGUUUACUAACACUUGAACAAGAGGGGCCAAUAAAGGGAACCAGCAGUACCGACCUCCUGCCAUCGUGGCAGUAAGGUAAGAGUGUCCGUAAGGACUAGUCGACAGGUAACUUUCGAUACCCGAAGUCACAUGCGCGACACUCUCCCCCCCUAGGGAAGAUCGACGUCCUCGUCGAUGCAUACUCGAGUCUAGAAUACCGCCAAGGAAACAACUCCAGAAAAAGUUCACGGUACUCACACUAUGUGAGAAAUGCACCAACUUAAAUGAGUUAGGGGGCAACCUCUUUGUCUAACGCGGAUGCGCUACCAGCUCAGACACCUUUCAGCCGUCGCCGACAAGGAAAUGACCAACGGAGUUAGCCACCCUUGCUGCUCUGGGAGUCACCCAGCUUACAAAAGUGUGAUAUGCCCUGCCCGCAGGAACAUAGAGAGAGAAGCCAGAAGCCCCAACCCUCCUAAGCAAAGAAACCAAACCCGUCGGUAAGGUUUAGAUAGACUACUGUAAACAGGCAGUUAGAGUUGUUUACACGGUCACGCCCUUUUAACGGAAUAAGGAACAUCGACAGAGAGGCGGGUUAUGUGACUAGUCUACAGUAGCUACCCCAUGACUAGAGAUUUCAACAUGCACACGAAGUGCCGAAGCCAGUCCGCCUAUACUAGCCCAAACUCAAAGAUCAAUAGAUGGACAAUAUCAAAGUCAGAGACAAUGAUAUUUUAGAAGGUUAAUUAUCAGUGAUUAUAUCUUAGAGUAGAACACAAAAGUAUUCUAAGCAAGUUAUCAUCCGAUAAACCAAUAGUAUUGUACAGGAACCACCAAGAUCAUCAUAAUUGGUAAAUAUAGGAUUCACCAUCAAACAAAAUUCAAUAGCAAGUAUAUCAUCAAGUAAACUCAAUGAUAAAGUUUAACUAUUAAAGAUUGCAGAUAGAAUACUAAACAACUUACGAAAGACAACUCAAAGAACACAAAGUAUCAUUGACUGAUAAGCAAAAUGCUCGCGAAUGUAUCACCCAAAGGAAAUAACAUCCAAAUCUAUCAAAACUAACUUGAGCAACAAUCAACAGAAGAGAAUGAAUGUGGUAAGACCAACAAACACUCAUUCCUGCCAACUAUCACAAAAACUAAUCUGAAUAGAUCCCAGCCAACAAUACCAAGGAACUCAAGUUGCCUAAGCAAGUGUCAGCAACAUCCUACUAAUGUCUCAAACCCAAGAGACCAAUCCAAAGCAAAUCACAAAGAACAUGUGAUAUUGCGAAAAGCCACAAGCCAUCAAAGAGAACAACUAACAAUCAUGAAAGAUCAUCAAUCAUCCCAUCAAUAAAGAGAUGCAUAAUCAUCGUCUAAGAAAGAAUCCACUACCUCAAAGAGCAACGAAUCAUUCUAUAUCAACAACAACCAAGCAAAACCCUUGACAAGGAUAAUCAACUAUCUUAGAUGAUAAUUAAUCAUCACCAAUGAUUGCCAGAUGCAAAUACUAACGUCAACAUCGAAGCUAAUGAGCCAAAAUGCCUUCCCCAACAACUUCGAACAAAUGGAACAACGAUCAUAAAACUCAAAGAACCAAAAGCUCGAAGAAGUCUAUAGCUAAGUCUUGCCUAAUAAUGAUCACAAGCUUUGCAUAAACUAACUUCAAUGCUAAAGAAGAAAUCAUGGUACAACCCACAAUAUCCUCCUCAACACAUCCAUAAGCUAAACUUCAUAAUGCAAAGCUAAUGAAGAGCAUGUCUGCAUCAAUCCAAAAGCUAAGCAUAACAAAGCUAUGCUUAACAAGUGAUCAUCAAACGAUCCUCCAUGAAUCCAUCUAUAGCAAGACGUAACUCACAUCAUAACAAGCACAAGAAGAAUCAUCAAUGAUCGAUAUAUUCCAACUCAAAUCCAAUAAGGAUUCAAACAUUCUAAUAUCAAUCACUAACUCUUCCGCUUGUAGAGUUAGCAUAGUUCACGACUGAAUCACUUUUCAAGGAAAAGCUCAAAGCUCAACCCCUACUAAAUAAUCUCGUUUAGAACACAACUAACUCAAACUUGCCACUCAGUUCAUUUGAACGUCAACAUAGUUGCUAAUUAGCAAAUGCACGAAUGCUAAUAACACAAAGCUAUAGCCAAAUCAUCGACACUAUCUUCAUCAAAACUAAUGAAACUCGACAUCAAUCUUGCGGAGAGACAUCUCAUUUCACUAAAAUCUUAACAUCAACAAUGUCAACAACAAGGCAUCACUUCAAUGCCAUCAACACUAGAACAAAGCGAGAAGAAAGCACGAGUGUAUCACCACUCAAAACUCUCUAGCAACUAAGCUAACCAAGGUCGAAGAUACUUUACUCGAGUAUCCGAGACUAAUUCUUCAACAAUACUCAGUUACAGAUAACACUUCAUCAAGGAGUGAAUCACCACAUCCAAGACUCCAUGAAAUCCAACACUAUGAACUAAACGCAACCAAAUGAUAUCAACAGAGGUAGAGUCGAUAUGCCAACAUGGAAAACCCACGUAAGUCUAACAACACAAUCCUCCGCAACCCCAUUCGGUAAAGCAAGCCCAUCACUGCUAAAUCAUCAUCGAGUGAAGCAAGUGUCAAUAGUCUUUUGACAAAGUCUACAAGCAAUCAUUAGUCGCAAAGCAACUAACAAUCACUCUUUCAACUUGCCUUCACAAGACCAAAACACUAAACUCAUGUCAUCGAGUCAUACACUUGUCCAACAUGAACACGAUACCUCCGGUAUGAGAUAAAAGUUCAUAGACAAGCACAAACCAAAUGACCACUCAAAUCCAACUCAACCACGAUAAGCUCACCAAAGCAUUUAGCCAUUAGCUCUGAGCAUGCCUUGAAGAGGCUAGCUAAGCAUGAUCAACACUUAGUCGAAACUAAAGUGAAGACCAUGAGAUGGACUUAUAUCGGUACACAACCUCCUUAUAGACAAAGCUAUAGUACGGGUACCAACAUCUCAAACUCAAACAACUAAGUUGGACAUCACCAUUCUCAGCCAAGGCGCAAGGCCACCAAGACUAAGUCAAGAUCAGUGAGAGCUCACUACUCUCAUAGAGUCUAACAAAAUGCAAAGUGCAACCUACCACCAAGCAUAACGCUACAAAAGAAAGGCACAAGGGUCACCUUUCUGGAAAAGUGCAACGGCCACUUUUCUACACUAACUCCAGACUCUAUCCAACUCAAUUGCCUUAGCCCUAAAAGUUAGCAUCCCUUUCGGGUCGCAUCAUACAAACUACUUACUAAGAUCUAAGCCAACCGAAGUCAACUCCAACCCCUUCACUAGUUUGUAUUGGCUUUUGAAAAUGGAAUGGUUUUCGAGCAAAGUGAUAACAGAUCAGCCAUUGGAAAAGUCUAAGAAAAUUUGUGGAAAAAAAAAUCUUCCAAUCCUAGAAAAAGAAUGACUCUCAGUCUAGGAAUUCAAAUUUUCAAAACUCAACCAACUUCCUCCUACUUACAACUUCACAUAGGUUCACCUCAACACAAAUUCUCAUGACCUAUAGUAUGCUUAAGCCUCGAACAUCUUUCUGCCCAUUUUUCCAAUAUCCAACACCGACAUCCGUAAAAUGCAAAGUGAACAUCCAAGGCUUGAUCACGAAGACCACAUCUUCGGAUAUCCACAUUGCACUAACACUCUUCUUCAACCACCUUCAAGAUCCAAUGUGAAGCUAAAACACUAACAAGAAAAAUGACAUAGAAAAUCAAGCUCUAAGGAAAAUCCUCACCACUUGAAAUAACAAUGCCACUUCCACUAACACAAGUGUUAGCGAUGUCAAUGCCUCAACUACACACCUUCUCCAUCCAACAAUCUACUCCAAGUGUUAACGAAUCAACUUAUGAGCUAUAGCAAAUGAAUGCUACAACCCUUUCCAACACCUUAUGGGCAAACCCUCAAGGAAACAAGGAACCAACUUAAGCUUAGCAUAAUGGACCAUCAUCGAGAAUCCAGUCAAAGCUACUACAAUGCUACUUUGUGCAAGUAGACUAGCUUCACCAUCAACCACUUUGGGGUUGAUCAUCAUUUAACCAGCAACUUCGUAAACACAUUGCUCAUUAUCACAUGGAUAUGAUAUAGAAAUCACAAUGACUUGAUCAUCAAUUGAGCAACACCACGAACAAUGCCAAUGUCAUUACUUCAAAGGUUUACAUGAAUAUCAAGUGCCAACUCAACUUGACAGAAUGCAACAUAAAUGCCACACUCUACCGAUAGAGAUUUACAACACCCAAUACCACUAACUUUUGUUCACAACACAGACAAGCUCAUGCCCCUCACUAUCCGAUCAAAAACUCAAGACUUAACCCAACACCAAGCUACUCAAGGAGCAAUAGCUAGGUUCCCCGGAAAAGAAUUGAGCAUUGUAACCCAAGUCUUCCAAUAGCGAGCUUAGACAAAAUGGUUUAACGCUUCACCGCUAUCCAUCCCAUAACUCACCAUUUGUAAGACCAUCAUAAUCAACAUGCAUCAAGAUAGGGACUCUUGAUUGCAUAAUGUGAAUACGAGCAAUGAGUCAACACCUCGUUGCAAAUCAUCUCUCCAAGAAGAAAAGAUGAUUUACGUGUUUGAUCCUCCGUCCCCGAUGACUCUCUUUUCGGUCUCAUCUUUGACCAAACCUCAAGCUUGCUUUCACACUGCCUUCAGUCCAAUCCAAGAAAAGUUUAUGAGAGAGCACAACAAUGAUUACUUGAACCAAUAGACUAACCCCUACAGUCUUAGUUGAUCCACUUGUAAUCAUGCCUAGGAAAGAUCUACUAGUGUCGUGCUAAACAGCUACGGACCAGCCUAUUUGCCACUCAUAGCAAACCCAGGGAAAGUUUGCUUUCACCCAUGGUACAUAGAACAACUUAUGGAACUACCGAUAGGCUAACAUUAAUCCUGCCAACUCAAAGUUUAAUCUCGAGUUGCUAAUGUGCCUCACUCGCGAGCCCAAGCAUAAACUCGUGCUAACGGAGCAUCUCAAAUCCAUCCUAUGAGCCCAAGAGCAAGCUCACAUUGUUAGGUACAAAAGGUAACCAAAACCAUACCCAAGGAACGAACGUGAACCCCUUGCACCAAACGUGUACUCAAUCGGACCAUCGUUUUCAUCUCUGCGUAUGCAACGAGACUAGUUGCCCAAUCUCAUUGUAUAGUACUCGCUGAGACUUACUCUCUGAUACCAAAUGUAGCGCACGUGGUUUUGACCCUUUAUCCUAUGGUGAUUUACCAUAGGAUAACACCACGAAGCGGAACCUAAACCCUCUUUGUGCCACGUGACAGAUGCCACGUGUCACAUGCCACGUGUCCAUGCCAUGUGUCCAUAGGAACCCGAAGUUCAAGGCCUUGGGCCAUUGAACGAAGGAACGGUGCCAAACUCCCAAGCAUGGAGCCAAGGAGUGACGGAACCGAACCACGGAGCAACUCCCGAGCAUAAAGCCCAAGGAGUGAAGGGACAGGAGCCCGGAGUGACUUGGAACAGUCCUGGAGCAACCAGCAUCCCAAUGCCAGGACCAGCACACAAAACGGAGCCAAACGGAGUCUGGCGCUAUUUCGGCAUACCGGUGGCCUAACGCGAGGAUAUGGGUACUCCACCAACUAGCAUGGAAUGGAACUUGGGCUUAGACCCAAGCCGGACGCAAAACAAGGACAGGCACGCAAGCGGGAGCUAGACUAUGCCUCAGGUUGGUCGGCCAUGCCCGACCUACCCACUAUCCCUACUAUACAUUUGGAACCCCCCACAGCCCCCCCCCCCUUGAGGAACACACGCUUUGGGCUUUCACCCCAAGCCUCCCUUAGUAUCAGGAGUUAGUCUCUGGGACAAGCUCGAAACUUACUAAAUAUGGAAUGUCCUUAGAUUGCGAAUUUGGACACGGGACGAACACCAUUGUGUUCAGGCCGAUCUCUACAUUCCGUAGAUAUGCCAAAUGAGCAAAUCUGGACACUUUCCAUAAAUAGCAUUUGGGACCAAAAUGAGACUAACACAAAGGGCAUGAUAGCGAGGGUGUUUGGCAGACACGGUAAGCUAUCAUCCAGCGAUAUUGAGGGACCAAUCUCAAUACGCGAGGGUUCUUGUCAAGCCAGUGCAAGACAGAGCAAAAGAGAACUAACAAGCCGGGCCAAGUAUGCUCAGCUAAAUAGACACUUAGGAAUUCCUUCCUUAUGCUCAUCCGGCCAAGUACAGAUGCAAAGUCUAGUUUACUAACACUUGAACAAGAGGGGCCAAUAAAGGGAACCAGCAGUACCGACCUCCUGCCAUCGUGGCAGUAAGGUAAGAGUGUCCGUAAGGACUAGUCGACAGGUAACUUUCGAUACCCGAAGUCACAUGCGCGACAGGCAGCUUGCGAGGCGAUGAAGACAGUAGUAGCAGGAUUUUGCUCCUGGAAGAAUUGUUUGUGGCCUGUGACAGGCAUUACGAAUGACAGCAGGGAUCCCUGUGCCGACACCUUUCGCACAGCAACACUGCCAAUGCUUAGGCACUUUGGUGUUCCAGUCGAAGGCCUAGAACUCAAGGUUGUUGCCCGCGGAGCUCCUCCCUUGGGUGGCGGUGAGGCUGUCCUCAAAGUUCCCAUUGUCCCCAAGAGCCUCACGGUCAGUUUCUCCAAACUCCUCUUCUUUUCUUUCUCUCCUCGCUAAGAAUCCUUCGCCAGGCUGCUACAUGGGUGGACAAGGGCAUGGUGAAACGUAUCCGAGGAGUGAGUUACUUCACACCCGUCUCACCUCAUAUGGCCAAUCGAAUGUGGUGUGCUAAAGCGCUUGCUCCCCGACAUGUACAUCUUUACUGAUCACUACACUGGUUCGGAUUCCGGGAAGUAAGUUCCAUGAUUUUGUGCUGCAAGGUAAACGUUUUUCAUCUUGCUUCCUUUGUCAUGGCACAGAUCUCCGGGCUAUGGAAUCUCACUGGUGGCAGAAAUGACCACCGGCUGCAUUUUAAGCUCCGAGUGCGUGGCUACGCAUUCUGGAGCAUCCGAGCUCCAGCUUCCAGAGGACCUGGGGAUGCAAGCAGCCAUGUCCUUGCUACAGGAGAUAAAAGUUGGGAGGAGUUGUAGAUUCAACUCACCAGGUAUCUAUCUGUGAAGCUGGAAAGGAAAGAAGUCGAUCUCACAAACUUUCCUGUUUGCCAUACAGGGGUUGCUGUUCCCGACCAUCAAAGAAUUUCUGGGAGUGCAGUUUGGUAUCAAGCCUGACCCAAAUCAGUUACAUGGAACUUUUUCUAGAAGCCAUCGGUCUUUUCCAGCAGCAGCGCAUCCACUCUCCUUGAUGUGCACAGCGAUUCAAGCUGCGGCCUCAAACUCCAGCCAGCCAUCCACGACGAUCAUCUGCCUCUCAUCGUCAUCAUCUGCUGAUGCUCCCACUGAAGAUAAGAAGCUGGAAUACACUUUGGACGCAUUCACUAUGUCCGUCACUACCAGCUGGGGGCUCUUGAAGUCCGGAUGGCGGUGAGCUCCCGGAGGAACUUGAGCAUGCAGCUGAAGAUCGAGAACAUUUUCCCAUUAGAUGUCUCCCGCAUCAAACGUUGAUGUCUUUUAGUGACUCAAGAACAGCAUGAGGCAUGGGCAUUUUAGACACAAUUGGUGGAAAAAGCAUCUUAACCUGCAAAGAAUUCCAAUGAAACCAGUUCCAGUUAAUAAGGAGACACUUUGUAUCUCCCGAACUAUUUUUUGCUGUAUAUCCUGAUGAAAAUGGGAGUAAGAGGUGUGAGAAAAAUUCCAAGUUGAACUAACUCACAGUGAAACCCUGCCUUCCCCCCCACCGCAAUAUAGACUGUAGUUCAAAGUUCGUUACUUGAGAACAAAGAGUGAAAAAUAAGUCAUGAUGAGAACUCCCCAAAUCUCAUGAACUGCACAAAUCUAACUUAAUUUUUCACAGGCAUUUUGCACAGGCAUCUGCCUAUCCUCACUCAAAAGUAGUCACUUUACUUUUAGACCACAUUAGAUCAGAAGUGCAAAAGAUCAAAAUGUUGAAACCAUAUUAGAAGUAAAAAGUAAGGUUUAUUACUAGAUGAUUAAGGUUUCUCUCAAACAGACAUCAUUUUUUGGCUAAAUCACAACUGUGGGGGUAUUUAACAAUAAAAGUAUAUAUUAUAUUUUUAUAUGUAGCUUUAGUUAUUUAUAAUUAUCAGAAAAACUACGAUAAUGUAUGUAGUAUUUGAUUAAACAUUAAUAUUUUAAAAUAUUUUUACUAAUUUAUUAGUAUAUAAUACUAUGGAAUAUAAGAUUUGAAUUUAUUAUAUAUAUAUAUAUAUAUAUAUACAAAUAAUUAUUUUUUGAUUGGAUCUGGGUAGCAAUAUAUUAAUGUUUCUAAAAACUUAUUGUUUUAUAUUUUGAGUAAAACUUAUAAUUAAUUAAUGUCCUGCAGUAAUUAUUCUCUUUUAUUUGUUUUUACUUUUUUAUUUGUCAAUUUGUUUCUAAAUAUAUUCAUAUUUCCAAAUAAUAAUUUGUAUAUAAUAUUUUUAUGAAUGAAUAUUUUAUCUUACUUAUGCCUAAGAAUAUAUUUUGUUCUAAAUAGUUAUAUUAUCAAGUUUAAAAAAUUUAGCUUUUUAUUCAUCUAACAUUUUCUAGGCAUAAUUCUCUCAAUCAAAGUGGAAUAUAAUAUUUGUUGUUUUAAUACUAUUCUAAUUUAGUUUUUAAUAUAUUAAAAAAUCAAAACAGUAUUUUGCUAAUUACACAGCAUAUGCUGGGCAAGUGCUAGUUCUGCAAUAAAGAAAUUCAUUGCUAAGAGGAUAAAGAUAACACCUAGUGAUUAAAGCACUAUGCCUCUGAUACCAUGUGAAGAGAAGCUAGCCUCUCCACCUAAAACUCUAAAAAAAGAGAGCAGCUCUCACAAAAUAGGAAAAACAGCUAAGAAGCUUAAAUUGAAGGAAUGUGACUCAAGCCACUUGACUUGACUCUAACAGUGGUAAGACAGGAUGGCAUUAAUGGCUGCCACAUUCUCUACUUUGGUGGCAGGAAGACCCUUUACUCCAGAGAUACAUACCACUUAAACAAACAAAAUUGUGGCUAAUGUCUCUUGUGUUUAUAAUUGAGUUAGUGGUCUAAACCACCGGGCCGUCGGAUGAAGAUCGUGCGGUCCCUGACGAUUCUAGGGCGCCACUGAGCUCUCCGGAUCAUCGAUCCCAGCGCGCGGCGGCGAGGAUUUCAACUAACGAAAUGGACGAGGAAUUGGCUAACGUGCAGGCUCAAAUCGGACGUCUUGAGCCGCAGAUCGAAGCGGCUGGGGAAUCUUUUCUCUUUGCCUUUGAGAGUGGCAAUCAAUUUCUGGCGGAAUAUUGGCAGAAGAAGGAAGAGCAGCUGCGGAAGAAAAAAUUACAGCUGUGGAAGGAGGAACUCCUCCUCCUCAAAUCUAAUUGUAAGUCAUUCUUUGUGUAUUUCGAUUUGGGGCGUUUUGCUGUGUGUUGUGGAUUAUGUGUGGUUCCAUUGGCUGCUUUCGGCCAUGGUUAAAGAGGUAGCUUCAGUUCGCUUUUAUUUUGGGUUGCUGGGAGUGUGGCUAUGGUGGCUUUUGGCUAUGCUGCCGGUGGACGCAUGCUCCCUUGUGCAUCCUUGGUCGUCCUUGUAUGGCUAUGGCUGUUGAGACCCUGGUUUUUUCUUCUAGAUCUAAUACUAACUUUGUUUUGUUCUGAAUGUUGCAGUGCGCGGAUCUGGUAAGCAAUUGCGAAAGCCCUUUGUUUCCUUGCACAUGCAUCCCCAUUUUCUGUCCAGUUCUUGGUAUUCCAUUUGUCCAGUUCUGGAUGCUACUUUAAUGCUGUCUGUCUAGUAAUAGUUGGGUGUCUUCUCUUUGGGAUGACUGGUAUGCUUUUCGGCCUGACACUAGAGUUUGCUCAGUUCUGCUCACAAGUCUGUGCGUUCCUCCAAAGCCCCCUUGUUUGCUUUUCAUGUCUGUCUUGUGUUUUACUUGGUCAUUCCCCGAUGCCUUUUCUUUCAAAUUUCGUCGCUGCUGCCCUCUCUGUCGAGACCCCUUAACCUCUCAGAUCUGUGUUGCGAAAUCCCUGACCAUAACCACACAUGGAAGAGAUGACUAAGGAUCCCUUUCUCCUCUCCCGCAGCAGCCUCUCUGUCACCCGGAGCAGCAGCAACUCUUUAUCCCGGAGCGGCUCCACUGUCCUGCUUUGCUUUCCCUGUCUGGUCACGGUUAAGGAUUUUUGCUUCCUGAAUCUGUUUCUUUCUUUCUGUGUGGAUAUCUGGUAAUCUCCGCAUCCUUGUGGUCAUUCUCACCCCUGUUUGCCCUUUGGCUGUGUUUAAUUCUGUGUCCAUAAACUUUAUUGUGCCUCUCACAGCGCCAGCGCCACCACCAGCGGGACUUCGUCCAGCCGAGAUUGACGUGCCUGGUAUGAAUGAUGUCUAGGGGACUGAAAGCCGUAAUUUUUUGUGUCAGACAAGAUCGCCUGGGCCAAGAAGCUGAACGAGAAUCUGACCGGACACUGACUGGACAAGCCAUGCGACUUUUCGGGAGCUCCAUACUCCCGCUUUCUCUGGAAUGGAGUAAAACAUACAUGUACAUGGGUCGCUCACUCUUACGGAGAUAAAAAGUUUCGUAUUGACCUUGAGACACGGCACUGACAACCUUCCUGGAACUCUGGGCUCUGGGAAGACCACUGCUCUUGCUACUGUGGCUGGAUAUCUUCGGCAACUUUGGAAGAACACCUCCAAGAAGGUCGUCUUUAUCAAUGACGAAUGUUUCAUUGACAAUCCCUCGAGGACAAUGUGGGUGGCUCUUUUGCUGAGCUACAUAGACGACUUUCCAGCCGAGCUUUCAUGCCGGGGGGUGGACCCUGAAAGUAUUAGAAUUUUGGAUCCUGAUGCCGGGGGGUGGACCUUGAAAGUAUUAGAAUUUUGGAUCCUGAUGCUGCAGAUAAAUGAAGUGAGUGUUGUGGAAGAUUUCAAUCCUUGUCCCCCUCAGGAUUUUCCAGAACUUGCUUAGCCAGAACAUCUUUCAGGUACACUGGUUUUUUGCUCUUCUUCAAAGCUUUCUCUUCCUUUGUUAUCGGAAAACUUCACCUUUGGCUUGUACAUAUGCUGGGAUCCUUCUUCUUGAUCUUGGCUAGCAUCUCUAAAAUUAGUAUCUUUGCAGCACUCCAUCCAGUCUUCCUCAUUUGAUGGCAAAUUCAUGUCCACAAGCCUACACUUUUGAAGCAAUGCCAAUUUUGGCGGAUAAUAAUUCAAAGUUGAAGAGAUCAGAAUACUCUUUCUUAAGCUAGUCAAUUGCUAUAAUAUAAAGACUGUUGGAGGGGUUUGAGAAAUAAAGGAGCAAAAUAAAAAUAUUGAAUAGAAACAUUUAUUGGAAGACCAAAGUGAUGGGAAGUAAAUGUAAAAAGAAAUAAAAUAAAAAUAAAGGGAAGGAAAAAAAAUUAAAAAGUUAUGAAAAAAAAGGAAAAGUCUCAAAUAUGCAAUCCUAAAAACCAUUUGCAAUAAUAAAAGCUCAAACUCAAGAUUGCUUACAUUCACCACAUAUAUGCAUUUGUAUAAUUAUUGCUAUAGAAAAUGAAAAUUGAUUUUGUUGUUAGUAUAGAUGAUUUUGCCACACAAUGCAACUGUAAAUGGCAAUGUGUGGCAACAAGCCAAGCAAUAAAAUAUAAACCCACUAACCUUUAUCAACUUUUAUCAUUUUGUCAUUCCAAACACCACAAGCCAAAAUCCCCACCUCAUAAACCAGAAUUCUGCAACAAAGAAAUUCAUUGCUCCAUCUCUCCAAAAGGAUAUAGAUGACACCUAGUGUCUAAAGCACUAUGCCUAUGAUACCAUGUGAAGAGAAGCUAGCCUCUCCACCUAAUACUCUAAAAAAAGAGAGCAGCUCUCACAAAAUAGGAAAAAAAACUAAGAAGCUUAAAUUGAAGGAAUGUGACUCAAGCCAUUUGGCUUGACUCUAAGACAGGAUGGCAUUAGUGGCUGCCACAUUCUCUACUUUGGUGGCAGGAAGACCCUUUACUCACAACCUCCAGAGGGAUGAGCACACCUAUACAUACCGCUUAAACAAACAAAAUUGUGGCUAAGUUUUCACUUUUUGUCUCUUGUGUUUAUAAUUGAGUUAGUGGUCUAAACCACCGGGCCGUCGGAUGAAGAUCGUGCGGUCCCUGACGAUCAUCGAAUCCCUAACCCUAGCUAAUAUAUAGGGCGCUCUUGAUCGCUCUCCGGAUCAUCGAUCCCAGCGCGCGGCGGCGAGGAUUUCAACUAACGAAAUGGACGAGGAAUUGGCUAAGGUGCAGGCUCAAAUCGCGCGUCUUGAGCCGCAGAUCCAAGCGGCUGGGGAAUCUUUUCUCUUUGCCUUUGAGAGUGGCAAUCAAUUUCUGGCGAAAUAUUGGCAGAAAAAGGAAGAGCAGCUGCGGAAGAAAAAAUUACAGCUGUGGAAGAAGGAACUCCUCCUCCUCAAAUCUAAUUGUAAGUCAUUCUUUGUGGGCGUUUUGCUGUGUGUUGUGGAUUAUGUGUGGUUCCAUUGGCUACUUUCGGCCAUGGUUAAGGAUUUUGCCAGAGGUAGCUUCAAUUCGCUUUUAUUUUGGGUUGGUGGAAGUGUGGCUAUGGUGGCUUUUGGCUGUGCUGCCGGUGGACGCAUGCUCCCUUGUGCAUCCUUGGUCGUCCUUGUAUGGCUAUGGCUGUUGAGACCCUGGUUUUUUCUUCUAGAUCUAAUACUAACUUUGUUUUGUUCUGAAUGUUGCAGUGCUUAGAAAUAUGAACUAGUGAAGUCCAUGUAAACAAGCACCCUAGAUUGCAUGAUGUGUGUAAGGCUAUAUGGAGUAUCGGCCCGUGAGAAGAAGUAUGGUAUGUGCCAGUCUCGAGGCUCGGCUCCUUGCAAGUGCCUCUCGAGAGCCACUGGGCGGUAUGAAGUAGACCCGAGCACCGCUUGUCCAUCGCCACCACCUUUCAUCACUGCUGAGACGUGUUCCGCUAGAUCAGAGGCAGGAUUUCCUGGGAGUCUCGUAUUUCCCGAACAAGCUGCUCCAGCCGGAUAUGGUGUCGCCCCUGGACAAGUGCCUGAAUAUGUGCAAGGCAAACUGCUCCUGUGCCGCGGUCUUCUAUAGCAAGAACUCGAGCGGCUGCUACUUCGUCAAGGACAUCCUGGGAAGCUUGGACUUUGAUGCCACUGCUGCGGUGCAGUACUCCGCUCAUCUCAAGCUCGAGAGUGGCAGCAUUGUCCUGAAGCCUGGAUGCUACUUUAUCUAGUUGGGUGUCUUCUCUUUGGGAUGACUGGUAGCCUGACACUAGAGUUUGCUCAGUUCUGCUCACAAGUCUGUGCGUUCCUCCAAAGCCCCCUUGUUUGCUUUUCAUGUCUGUCUUGUGUUUUACUUGGUCAUUCCCCGAUGCCUUCGCCUCUCAGAUCUGUGUUGCGAAAUCCCUGACCAUAACCACACAUGGAAGAGAUGACUAACCGAGAAGGAGCUCUUUCUCCUCUCCCGCAGCAGCCUCUCUUUCACCCGGAGCAGCAGCAACUCUUUAUCCUGGAGCGGAAUCUGUUUCUUUCUUUCUGUGUGGAUAUCUGGUAAUCUCCGCAUCCUUGUGGUCAUUCUCACCCCUGUUUGCCAUUUGGCUGUGUUUAAUUCUGUGGCCAUUCCUCCAUAAACUAUAUUGUGCCUCUCACAGCACCAGCGCCAGCAGCGGGACUUCCUCCAGCCGAUUUUUAUGUGCCUGGUAAGAAUGAUGUCUAGGGGACUGAAUGCCAUGACUGGACAAGCCAUGCGACUUUUCGGGAGCUCCAUAUUCCCGCUUUCUGUGGCUAUCAAACAUACAUGUACAUGGGUCGCUCACCCUUCAAGGAGAUAGAAAGUUUCGUAUCGGCCUUGAGACACGGCGCUUCGGAUAAUGACAACAAACCUCCAGGUAUUAUUAUUGGAACUCCGGGGUCUGGGAAGACCACUGUUCUUGCUACUGUGGCUGGAUAUCUUCGGCACCUUUGGAAGAACACCUCCAAGAAGGUCGUCUUUAUCAAUGGCGAAGAUUUCAUUGACAAUCCCUUGUGGACAAUGUGGCUGGCUCUUUUACUGAGCUACAUAGACGACCUUCCAGCUGAGCUUUCGUGCCGGGGGCGGACCUUGGAAGCAUUAGAAUCUUGGAUCCUGUCGAGAUCGUCAGAGCAGCUUUACUUUCUGGUGGACGAGGCCAACGCGUUUGACACCACGCUGAAGAGAGAACCGGGGGCUGCCAGCGCGAAAAAAAGAGACGACGCUUACCAUUUUAUGAAGAAUAUGCAACUGCAGCACGUCGUUGUCUACUGCUCAAGUACGUGGACGAGCAGAUUAGUGAGCGACAAAAGCCAGGUGGUUACAACGUAAGUGGCGACUACUUUCCAACACUGGUGUGGGGCUAACUUGUGUGCUUUUCCUUUUAUCCAACAGGCUGAGGAACUGCAGGCAUAUUGCGAACACGAGGUUCGUCGUGCCGGGGGGCUCCAAGUGGAGGUGAGCAUCGUAUUUACCGUGUCUUCUUUUAAAGCCUACUAAUGGUUUGGAGUAGGAGGAUCCGAUUGUGGCGUAUUGCAGGCUUGCCACAAGGCAAGGCCACCGAGAGUUGAUCCGACAAAUUCAGCUCCUCCUCAGAUCCAUCAACCUGCUUCAUCGCGUCGGUAAGCCACACAUUCACACAUUUCAUUUACCUUAAUGCGUUUGCUCGGAAUUCAAAAGUGAGACCGGCUGGGUUCCCAGGCUUGUUCGCUCAUUACGGGACCUGGAAGCUAGGGACCACGUACCAGAUGUACGAAGCUGGCCUGGGAGAGUAUAUCCAAGAGGCGGUCAAGGACCCAGAUCGCUGGAAUUCCUUCAUCGCUGUGGUCAGCAGAGUGGAAACGAUUAGAGCGGUGUUACCAGACGCGCUAGACACUCGAUGUUUUUACGUGGAUCCAGAGACACAAACAGGAAAAUGUCCAUCAGAUUCUCUGUGCGCGCGCACUAUGGCGACUCUGCAGUACGCGUCUGACGUUGAGGCUAGGAUGGGUAUCGGCCAAUGGACAAGGCUGAUCUCGCAGGAUGACAACAGUGCUCGGGUUGGGUGGAACGCAAUAAUGGCAACUCUCAUUUUCAUCAAACACUAUGGUAUCGUUAUUACCGCGGAAGGUCUGCAGCUUAACUUUAAACCUGAAGUGGUUGUCAGAUUCGAACCCCAACUUCUGUUUGGAUCCUAUGAUCCCCCCCCCAUCCUUCGUGGGGUACAACACACCUCAGUCCAAAUGCUUCCAUCAGUCCUUUUAGGACCAUUUUUUGACUCUACUUAAGUCAUCCAGCAGUUUUAGACUUGAUUAAUUCACAGACCUAUAAGGUCCCACUUGUGAAGCACUAGCUCACUGGAAUACACUUCCUGCAUUCCUGUCCUACUUAGAAGGACUAUUUUCACAAGUGUUAUUCUGACACUUGUUUUUGUUCUCUAGGGCAACUUCUGCCCCUUAGAACUACUUGUCCAUGUGAUGAGAAUACCAACUCAUCUUUAAGUACACCCCCCAACUCUUUGGGUUGUUCUAACAUUUAUUAAAGGUAGCCCCGGCUACCAUUUCAAGGGCUGGUGUCCUCUUCUGUAUUUGACAUCCCACAGUCAACAAUUUUAGUCUCGAAUUUAUGAGUACCAGCCUCAACCAUAUAAGGGUAAUCUUGUGACUCCUUUAUUGUUUUGGAGUCUGCAUCUUCCCCGUGAUCCCAAUUGUAGUUGUUUACCACAACUACAUUAGCAAGUUUGUUAAGUCAAACGCUCAUCUGGAUCACAUCCUCAACUCUCUGAAGAAACCCUUAUACUAUUCCCAAGAUCCCAAAGUCAUUCCAUUAUUGGCCCCUUUUCUAUCCAGCACAUUGCACCCAAGUUCACGCAUGAACUUGAGUGGAGAGCCAUGUCCUCUCGACAUGCUACUCCUCAAGGAUAGGCCCACUCCUAGGACUUUCUGAUGCCAAUAUCAAUGGUGUUAUACUUGAGCACCAAUAAAAGUCGGACUAAAGAACAACUCCGAUACUAAGUUGUAAGUGACUAAAUUUUCCAUUUUACUUUAGUCACUUAACCGCACCUCCGACCACUUGGAGGAGUCUCACUCACAACCUCCGUAAGUCCUAUUUUGGACCUGGGCUUACUAGCCCCGAGAAUGGCAUCCCCGCCACUCAACUUCGUGCACUUGGUCCAAGUGCUCCACGUGUCCGAUCCCAUGACUGACACCCCAAGGUACCACCAACAUAUCAGCCUGUUACGCUAAGGCCAUGCCCAUUCACCUUGGUCACAACGAUGGUCUGACACCAUCUGCAUCCCAAUCCCAUCACUUAAAGACUGGGCCAUCCAUCCAUGAGUGAUCAUCCCAAAUCCACUCCUUAGCAUCCUUAGGAUGCCCACCGACAUGGGGAUUAGCCUUCCCCAAUAUCUCCGUUCCAAUCCCCACUAAGUCCCUUUUCGUCCAUGGCCGUGUUUGCCAACACUGCCACUGGAUCGAGGCCCACAGGCCCGACCACUAAGUCCCACGGUCCACUGGGACUUCCUCACCACACGACUGUGUCCUUGGUCACUACCCCAGAGGACUGCUCCUCUUCCUUUCCACAGUCUGAGCCUUUGGGACAACAUUUCGGAACACCGUGGCCUUACGCGAGCCACCUGGGUACUCUCCCCGCCUUCCGCCCUUGGGUGCUCUAGCCAUGGGCUUAGAGCGAGGUUCCGUUGAGCCACGCCUGGUAUCCAAGUAGGUAGUGCCACCCACACUUGGACUGGGAGCAUCGGCCAGUCGAUCUCCCGGGGGAACUAGAGCCGGCUCUUGAACACUUCACCAAGCUACCCCGCUUGUCGGUCUGUGUUCACUCUAGUCUUGGACUUCCCAGUGGUCAGCUCAUCACCCAACACUGGGUCUGGCCUUCCUGGGCCAAACUGGCCUUUCCUAGCCAAACUGGCUCCACUGGGCUCCAACCCCCACACUCUCCCUACUAUACUUUUGGAAACCCCCGCCCUGGGGGACGAUCGCUUUGGGCUUUCACCCAACUGCCUGUAUUAGUAUUCGGACUCGGACUCGGACUCGGUCUCGGUCUCGGUCCCGAAUUCGGACUCGGACUCAAUCUCGGUCUCGGUCUCGGUCUCGGUCUCGGUCCCGGUCUCGGUUCCAUCUCGGACUCCAUCUUGGGUCCAUCUCAGACUCCAUCUCGGGUCCAUCUCGGACUCCAUCUCGGGUCCAUCUCGGACUCCAUCUCGGGUCCAUCUCGGACUCCAUCUCGGGUCUAUCUCGGGUCCAUCUCGGACUCCAUCUCAGGUCCAUCUCGGACUCCAUCUCGGGUCCAUCUCGGGUCCAUCUCGGACUCCAUCUCGGGUCCAUCUCGGACUCCAUAUCGGACUCCACUUCGGGUCCAUCUCGGACUCCAUCUCGGACUCCAUAUCGGACUCCACUUCGGGUCCAUCUCGGACUCCAUAUUGGACUCCAUCUCAGACUCCACUUCGGCCUCUACUUCGGGUCCAUCUCGGACUCCACUUCGGGUCCAUCUCGGACUCCACUUCGGGUCCAUCUUGGACUCCAACUCGGGUCCGCCUCGGACUCCAUGUCGGACACUUCCACGUGUCAUGUGUUGGUCCUUUUUGGGUCCCUUUUUGGAGCCUUGCUUAUUGGUUGCCUCGUGCUUGCUCCUCGAGCACUUUGUUGGGAGUUCCACUCCCGCUCUCAACCUUCCAAGUCGGAGCUUUUAGUCCAAACGUGUUAUGCUCGUUUGGCUUUCGCUUCGGCCACUACCACGUGGCACCCUUUCCAGCUCCACUUUGGGGGCCUAGGGAUUUUGUGUCUCACACAAAUUUGGACACUUUCCAUAAAUAGCAUUUGGGACCGAAAUGAGACUAACACAAAAGGCAUGAUAGCGAGGGUUUUUGGUAGGCACGGUAAGCUAUUAUCCAGCGAUAUUGAGGGACUAAUCUCAAUACGCGAGGGUUCUUGUCAAGCCAGUGCAAGACAGAGCAAAAGAGAACUAAAAAGCCAGGCCAAGUAUGUUUGGCUAAAUAGACACUUAGGAAUUCCGUCCUUAUGCUCAUCCGGCCAAGUACAGAUGCAAAGUCCAGUUUACUAACACUUGAACAAGAGGGGCUGGCAAAGGGUCUAGCAAUACUGACCUCCUGCCAUCAUGGCAGUAAGGAAAGAGUGUCCGUAAGGACUGGUCGACAGGUAACUUUCGAUACCCGAAGUCACAUUCGCGACAAUUCCUGAUAGCACCCCCUCGGAUUGAAGAUCAUUUCUGAUCGCAUUCAUCAAGGAGGAGUCCUGAGGGGCCAGAGAAAUUGCCAUAACUUGAAGCCGAUCAGGACCGAGGAUAACUUGAUCAUGUUGAUUGAAGGCAGGAUUACCAGGCCUGAGACUGAGAUAGGACCGCCUUGAAAGAGCAUCAGGAAGGCCUUGAAACUUUCUAGGUCUGUACUUGAUAACAAAGUCAAACCGACUCAAGAAUUGUGCCCACCUUGCUUGACGACGGCUCAAAACUCAGGAAGUGGCAAAGCACUCAAGAUUUUUGUGAUCCGUCCAGACCAUUGUUUGAUGGCCCGCCCCCUCCAAGAAACGACACCACUCUCCAAAGGAAUCCACGAUGGCAAGAAGCUCCUUGUCAUGGAUUUCGUAAUUGAUCUCCGCAGGUUGGAAUUUCUGAUAAUGGAAGGCGACUGGAUGAAAUUCUUGAUCCGCUCCGAGUUGAAACAACACAGCACUGAUGGCAAAGUCAGACACAUCAGCCUCGAUGAAGAAAGGUUGUGAGGGAUCAGUGUGGAUCAAGACAAGAGCAAAACUGAAGGCCGCCUUGAGUGUGUCGAAGGCCUGCUGGGCAGCAGCAGACCAAGAGAAGGGAACAUCCUUGUGAGUGAGAUGCGUGAGAGGAAGGACAAUGUCAGAGUAGUGAUCAAUGAAUUUGCAAUAGGAAUUGGCGAAGCCAAGGAAAACCUGAACAUCCGACAUUGAUUGUGGAGGCUCCCAUUCGAGAAUAAUCUUGACUUUGGCAGGAUCCAUCGUGAUACCCUCAAGAGUGACAAUGUACCCAAGGAACUCCACAGACUCCUGAUCGAAGGAACAUUUCUCAAGCUUCGCAUAUAAGCCAUGUUCCCGCAGCUUUGCCAACACCUUGCGCACAUGCUCGUCGUGCUCCUCCUGAGUUUUUGAGUAGAUGAGGAUGUCAUCAAGGUAGACGAUCACCAUCUGAUCAAGAAACUCCCGAAAGACGUUGUUUGCCAUGUGUUGGAAAAUUGUUGGAGCAUUUGUCAAGCCAAAUGGCAUAACGGUGUAUUCGAAGUGGCCAUAUGUAAGCCACAAAUUUUUCCUUUCCAAUUUGCCAGCUUACCUCGCCUAUCCGUCCAACACCGCCUUGGCUUUUGCUAAGUUCCCUUGCCAAGGUUCUCGCCUAUGGUACCAGCUCCUACUUGGUCUCAGCUACUCACUGCACGAGCAACGGAGUGUUAGCCACCAUCCACGGAUUCCCAAAUCACUCCCAAUCCCCCUCCCCGGGUUAGACUGGACUUAAGGUUCGGCUACACUCCCCGCAAGCACAAGCAGCCAAGCACACCAAGCUUCCAGGUUCCUAACAUCCUUUGGUACCACAAGACUUGAUCAUGGGACCCUCUAAAUCCCAAGUCUUGAGUGCAACACUUGCUUCGGGACGCCGGGGCGAAACACCGUGGCCUAGCGGCCCGGUAUGGGUACCUCUCGCCCCCCACUUCCAUCCCGAAGGAAGGCCCAAGCCCCUAGGAAGGGCGAGGACCAAUGAGCCGCAUGGUACUCAAGUGGGGCACCACUCCACUUGAGCCGGGAGCACCGCAAUCGGUUUCCCUUUCGGGAGUGGGAGCUGCUCUUGAGCACUUCCUUGGAUGGCCCCUCCGGCACCAACCAAGUCCAUGCUCACUCCCACCCAAGGCCCCUCGGUCCCAGUCCCAACCUCAAGUCAGUUUGGGAGCCCCACUGGAGAGUCCCUUCUAAACUGGUUCCUGGACCUCACUAUCCCUACCAUACUUUUGGAACCCCCUACAGCCCCCCCCCCCCCCUGGGAGACGCACGCUUUGGGCUUUCACCCCUUGACCCGUAUUAGUAUUUGGACUUAGUCUCUGGCUCGAUCUCGGACCCGAUUUCGGAUCCGACUUCGGAUUCGGGUUCGGACUCGAUCUCGGACUCGAUCUCGGACCCGAUCUCGUACCCGACCUCGGACUCGACCUCGAACUCGGUCUCGGACCCGAUUUCGGAUCUCGGACUCCGUCUCGAACUCAGUCUCGAACUCGGACUCGAACUCGGUCCCCGAGUCGGUCUCGGACUCGAUUCCGGACUCGAUCUCGAACUCGGUCCUAGAGUCGGUCUUGGACUCGAUCUUUGACUUGGUCCCAUCCGAUGAACUCUUUGUCAUUUUGGUCAUGCUUUCGGGGUUCCUUUAGCCUACGACACCUCGGCGAGUUGGUUCCUUACACCAUAGCGGGUUCGGAACGCAGUCUUCCAUUCAUUACUAGGCCGGAUCUGGAUCAGGUUGUAUGCUCCACAGAGGUCGAUCUUGGUGAAGAAGCAGGCACCGCUGAGGCGUUCCAAUAUGUCUGAGAUCAGGGGCAGUGGAUAACGGUUCCGAACAAUCACCUUGUUCAAACCUCGGUAGUCGAUGACUAGCCGCAAACUCCCAUCCUUCUUCUUGACAAAGAAGACAGGCACUUCAGUCGGGGACUGCGAAUGCUGAAUGUACCCCGAGGCAAGGUUCUCAUCCACGUAUUCUUUGAGGGCCUUAAGCUCGGACGGGGAUAACCCAUAGAUAGGCCCCCACGGAGGUGAUGCUCCUUCCUGUAAAUCAAUGGGACAGUCAUAAGGCUGAUGAACAGGCAGUACACUAGCUUUUUUCUUGUCAAACACAUCCCCAAAAUCAUGAUACUUCUCAGGAACACUGACAGGAGAAACAUGCAAAGCAAAAAAGGAAAAUAGAUUCUUCAUGAAGAAGUUCUUUCAUAGUGAUUGUGGAGAUAGGAGGAGGUGUACAACUAAAUGGAAUGAUGAGACGAGGAUACUGUCCAGUGUAAUAUGGAAGAGAGGAAAAAGAAGAGGGUGAAAACUUCGUAGAGUCAGGAAUAGAACCCCAAUUUAAGUUUAAGGAACUUUUCCUGAUUCGGACUCGAUGAACAGCAGGGGAAGCCAUGGGAGAUGAUGAUGUGGGAGAGACGAGCUGUAAUUCCUUCCAAUAGAUCUGAGGCUGAUGUAGUUGGAACCAAGGGAGGCCAAGCACCACAGAGAAGGACUUGUUGUUGAUGAUGUUGAAGGCGAUAUCGGUGACGGUGGACCCGAUGUGUACUUGAAAGGGCAACAUUUCCCUAAGUCCAGAAGAUGGAAACACAAAAUGCCUGCCGAUGCCUUCAACCCUCAGAUCCCGUAUGGUAGGAGAAAGAGGAACGUGAUGUCAGGCAGCAAAGUUCGUGUCCAUGAAGCAGGAAGUUGCACCCGAGUCCAGUAGUGCCAGAGCCUUGAGUCCUGAUUGUCCGGUGAAAGAAAGGAGACAUAGGAUGCGGAAGUUGCGGGAAUUGGUGGUGGCUUUGAUGAAAGGUGGUGAAGAGCUUGAUAAAGAAGAAAAGUGAUUUUUAUUUGGGGAGUCCAAACAGACAGCUCCUACUUUGUUUGGACAGGGUCGUUUCCCAAUUGCAACAGAGAUGGACUUUGAGGCAGAGUGAACUCGAGCAAUCGGGGAGGCUUCUUGGGACACACAGUUGCUUUGUGAUUAGGAUCAGCAUAGUAGAGGCAAAGAUUAUGAGAUAUUCGACGUUGCUUCUCAGCAGGACUCAACUUCCCUCUGAUGAGUCGGGGAGUACCAGAAAUAUCCAUCGGGACCGGAGUAGUAGGUCCAGGAGUAUGCUCUGAAGACUCAAGCUGGGAUUCCUGAGUCUGGGACGGGAAAACGGCGGCACGGUGACUUUUCUGAUGACGUUCAAAGAGACGAUUGUCGCAUCAAACAGCUUUGUUGAUGGCGUCCGACAAGUCCGUGGGAUCCUCCAUGGUGAGCAACAAAUCCUUGACACCGUUGUUGAGGCUGAAACGAAAUUGAUCAAUCAAGGCCUGCUCAUCCUAUUGAGUGUCCAAGGCAAGGAGUUGGAACUCUGCAGCAUAGAUCGAGGCAGGACGAGACCCUUGAGAGAGACGUCUCAUCUUUGUGGUGGCAGCCCGAACCCGAUCCGUCUCGCCAAAACAUGCUUCGAGCUUCUCUUUGAACAAUUGAAAAUCCAUCAGCUCCAGAACCACGACCCCUUUCAUGCUCUUCUCCAGGAGAGGAGAAAACCAUGACAAAGUUGCACCUUCGAGCAACAUCCCAAUCGCACCAAUUUGAGACUCGGGAGUGGGGUACCGCCGAUGUUAAAGUCCGAAGAUCAGCUCCAUCUGGUUCAGGAAUCCACGAAGCUCUGAACGCUUCCCUAAAAAUUUUGCCGGGAAACUCACCUUCGGUUUAGGAACUUUGUUGGAUCCUUGAGCCGAAAGUGAAGCAAGCUCCUGUUGCAUGCGAAGAAGGGUCGCCUUCAGCUCAAUAUUCUCAGACUGGAUUUUUGCAAGGACUUCGGCAAAGAAAUCAGGAUGGCUUGGAAACUCCAUUGGAAAAGAAGAAAGAAAAAAGGGGGAAAAAAUGCAAAGGCAGUCAAACAAUCAAAACAAGCUAAAGCAAAAAACGAAAAAACACAAUCUAAAUCAAACUAUCAAGACCCCUAACAAGAUCAAGACUGGAAAAUGCAAAAGACAAAGAGAAAAGCUAGUGAAUAACGAAGAAGAGGCCUUAGACUAGUGUUGAUUCAGAUUGUAGAGAAAUGGAACAAAGCUAACUUAUAUAUACUAUAGGUUGAUGAAGCUCCACCACUUUUGGAUCGAGGACGGCCCAAAUAUAGUUGAGGUUGAGGAGGCGUCACAUCAUCAUCAGGAAUGUGGCUCGAGACUCAGGAAUCGUAUGGGAAAUCGAGAGUCAGGAAUAGGGAAGUGUUUUGAGAGUCAGGAAUAGGGAAGUGUCUCGAGAGUCAGGAAUGUGGUCUGCAGGUCAAGAAUCUGGCGAGAGUCAGGAAUGUGGCAAGAAUUGGGGGAUUUCUGACAACAAUAAAAGGAGUGAUCAAUGUAAGCUCCUAAGUUUAGACUUUCCAGGGGUGACAAUAAAAGGAGUGAUUAAGUGUAAGUUCCUGAGUUUGGAAUUCCCAGGAGGUCACCUAACCUAGUACUAUUCAAACCUAAGAACGUUUAACUCAAGUAUCCCAAAACCUUUAACUAAUUUGAAAAAGGGGUGCACUUUUUUUAAGGGCGUUUUCCCUUUAUAUUUGAAUCCUAUGUAUCAUUUUUCAAAUCGUUCUUUUUGGUUGCUUAUAAUCCACCACGCUUCCAUGUAAUUUCAUGCCUUCAUGAAUGGAAGCUGAAAGCCAUAGCUCAACUCAAGAGUUUAUAUUUGGUAUCAGAGAGGUCUUGGGUCCGACUUUAUUGAUUGGCUAAAAGAAUUGCACUAGAUAUUGAUUGACAUCAGGUAAGUUUAAUUUACUUUUUAAUUAUUUAUAAUUAAUGAUGAAGACACCAUUAACUUUGUAGCUCCCUAUGCCAAUUCACCUAUCAACCCCACAAUAGAACCUACACUUAGUUUGUGGCCAUCUACCAUAUAGCUUAACAUGAUUGUAAUUUAGGGCAUUUUGUCAUUCUAGAUACCACCUCAUAAAUCAGAAUUCUGCAGGCAAGGAAAUUCAUUGCUCCAUUUUUCCAAAGGACAAAGAUGACACCUAGUGUCUAAAGCACUACUCAUGCCAAAAAUUCUAACCUAUGCCUCUUAUACCAUGUGAAGAGAAGCUAGCCUCUCCACCUAACACUCUGCAGAAAGAGAAAACUCCAAGAACAAGCAGCUCUCACAAAACAGCAAAAAGAGGUAAGAACGUUAAAUUGAAGAAAUGUGACUCAAGCCAUGUGGCUGACUCUAUGGUGGCUGCCACAUUCUCUACUUCAUAGAGUCUGCCACAUUCUCUACUUUGGUGGUAGGAAGACCAACUGUAAAAUAGAAGCCACUAAAACAAACAAAAUUGUGGCUAAGUUUUCACAUUUUGUCUCUUUAUCGUGCUAUCGUUACGGUUUUAGGGCAAAGCCCACCACCAACCUAGGUUUUCACGAUAGGGUUUCAAUUAACGAAAUGGACGAGGAAUUGGCUAAGGUGCAGGCUCAAAUCGGGCGUCUUGAGCCGCAGAUCCAAGCGGCUGGGGAAUCUUUUCUCUCUGCCUUUGAGAGUGGCAAUCAAUCUCUGGUGAAAUAUUGGCAGAAGAAGGAAGAGCAGCUGCGGAAGAAGGAAGAACAGCUGCGGAAGGAAAAAGAACAGCUGCGGAAGAAGGAACUCCUCCUCCUCCAAUGUAAUGGUAAGUCAUUCUUUGUGUAUUUAGCUUUCCCCCUCGAUUUGGGGAUGGCUGCUUUCAGCCAUGGUUAAGGAUUUUGCCAGAGGUAGCUUCAAUUCGCUUUUAUUUUGGGUUUGUGGCGUGUUGCGAAAUCCCUGACCAUAACCACACAUGGAAGAGAUGACUAAGGAUCUCUUUCUCCUCUCCCGCAGCAGCCUCUCUUUCACCCGGAGCAGCAGCAACUCUUUAUCCCGGAGCGGCUCCACUGUCCUGCUUUGCUUUCCCUGUCUGGUCACGGUUAAGGAUUUUUGCUUCCUGAAUCUGUUUCUUUCUUUCUGUGUGGAUAUCUGGUAAUCUCCGCAUCCUUGUGGUCAUUCUCACCCCUGUUUGCCCUUUGGCUGUGUUUAAUUCUGUGGCCAUUCCUCCAUAGACUUUAUUGUGCUUCUCACAGCACCAGCGCCAGCGCCAGCAGCGGGACUUCCUCCAGCCGAUUCUUACGUGCCUGGUAAGAAUGAUGUCUAGGGGACUGAAUGCCAUAAUUUUUGGUUUCAGACAUGAUCGCCUGGGCCAAAAAGCUGGACGAGAACCUGACCGCAG